rnacentral:rRNA from 1 species
UAACACCUGGGAACAGAUGCUAAUACCCGGGAUAACACAGAUGAUGCCUAUCUAACUGUUUUAAAAGAUGGUUCUGCUAUCACUCUUGGAUGGACCUGCGGUGCAUUUAGCUAGUUGGUAGGGUAACGGGCCUACCAAGGCGAUGAUGCAUAGCCGAGUUGAGAGACUGAUCGGCCACAUUGGGACUGAGACACGGCCCAAACUCCUACGGGAGGCAGCAGUAGGGAAUCUUCCACAAUGGACGCAAGUCUGAUGGAGCAACGCCGCGUGAGUGAAGAAGGGUUUCGGCUCGUAAAGCUCUGUUGUUGGUGAAGAAGGACAGGGGUAGUAACUGACCUUUGUUUGACGGUAAUCAAUUAGAAAGUCACGGCUAACUACGUGCCAGCAGCCGGGUAAU